UACAUGUUCUUUGAGGUGAGAGCUGCCUCCUUCCUGUUGUUAUAAGUAUCAAGAUACUCCUGAAGUUCCAACACGCUGAAUUUCAUUUUUUCCAGGAGUCCUGUCUGCAUCGAUGAACAGUGUCGGACACUCUGAGCAUGAUGUCAGCAUCUGAGAGGACCUUAAAAGCUUUGAUCCUAAUCCUCUGAGGCCGUCCCCAAGGUAACUCACAGCAUCAAAGCUUUGGUCAGUGAAGUGAACAACAUCUGGUUAAUGAAUGCUGAGGAUUUUCAAGCUGAAAGCAUCUACACAGUGCCCUCUAUUUGUAAUUAAUCAGAUGACUUCUGAUCGGAAGGUCAAUCAGGUGAAAGACUAAUCCUGUUACCCUUUCACUUCUAUAACUCACUUUGCCUGAGCUCACUGCUUAAUGAAUUCAGGUAUAUGCUCACUCUGAGGCCAUGAUUAUAUAUACCUGAAACAGUGAAGAAAACACAUGAAAAGUGUAGACUGCACAGGAUCCAUCUGAGUCAGACACCAGCUGGUUGAUGUGACUCCGCCAAGCCUCCUCUGCAUCGUCGCACACGGCUGGUUGGAAAGCUGCGAGGAUGGCUGAGAAGAAGGGUGAAGGUGGCGGUGAAGCACGGGACUCCAGAGCGUCGUCUCUCUCUUCCUCUGCAAGACUGAGGAGGCAUAAAGAAAGACCUGUCACAAACAAAGUCAUUCUAUAUGACUUUAUUUAUUAAUUUAUGAGGAGGGUUGUGAGUGGGUACCUGGGUAAGUAGCUAUCAAGGUCCAGCUCUCCUUUAUAAUCAAUGUGAACCAUGUCCAUCGUUAAACUGUCCCCAGUGUUGAAGUCAGGGGGCAGCUCGGUGAUGCAGAGAGAGAGCUCUUCUUCAUGGAUGUUUGUGUCGUCGUAGUCUUGGGAUAAGUCAUGCUAAAAGACAGAAAUAUGGACACACUCUUUCUCACCUGAUGUCAAAAUAAAUUAGAGUCAUGACAAAAAAUGUAGCGGCAUGCAGUGAAGGCUAAAAUACACUGAAAUGUGCUCCUUUUGUUAUUCUUUACUUAUCAGGCAGGUAAUGUUUGUUAAUAAAAUGUAUACACUAACCUUGGUCGUGGACCCUACGGACACUCCUUGUGCUGUUUUCUUUUAUUUUUUAAAAGUCUUUUAUUUUGUAAAUUUAAUGUUAUGAAUUGUGCCAAUUCGAAAGGUUAUAAAUAAUUGAAUUCAGCCAGCAUUAUGGCUCUGUUGUGGCACUUGUGUUUUUUGGGGGCAGGCAAUGUGUAAACCUUUCCUCAGCUCCCACAUGCCAAGAGUUUUUAG